CUAGCCCAACAACUAAACCAACCAACUACCAAGCAAAAAUAAAACCAAAACAUUUAAUCGCUUACUAGAGUAUAGGAGAUAGAAAUUUUUAACGGAGCUAUAGAGAUAGUACCGUAAGGGAAAGAUGAAAGAACACCUAAAGUAAAAAACAGCAAAGAUUACCCCUUCUACCUUUUGCAUAAUGAGUUAGCUAGAGCAACUUAACAAAGAGAACUUAAGCUAAGCCCCCCGAAACCAGACGAGCUACCUACGGACAAUCCCCAGGGAUGAACUCAUCUAUGUCGCAAAAUAGUGAGAAGAUCUAUAGGUAGAGGUGAAAAGCCAAACGAGCCUGGUGAUAGCUGGUUGCCCAGAAUGGAAUUUCAGUUCAACUUUAAACUUACCUAACAACCUAGAAAUUUUAAUGUAAGUUUAAAUUAUAGUCUAAAAAGGUACAGCUUUUUAGAUAAAGGGUACAACCUUACUUAGAGAGUAAGUAUGAUCGAGA
rnacentral:rRNA from 1 species